UUCGUCCAAGUGAAGUAGAGGACAGUGGCGGACGGGUGAGUAACGCGUGAGUAACCUGCCUGCGAGAGGGGGAUAACAACGGGAAACUGUUGCUAAUACCGCAUAACGCAUCGAUUCCGCAUGGAGAUGAUGCCAAAGGGAAACCGCUUGCAGAUGGACUCGCGUCUGAUUAGGUAGUUGGUGAGGUAACGGCUCACCAAGCCGACGAUCAGUAGCCGGACUGAGAGGUUGAACGGCCACAUUGGAACUGAGAUACGGUCCAGACUCC
rnacentral:rRNA from 1 species